AGGCUUUGAUCCUGGCUCAGGAUGAACGCUGGCGGUAUGCUUAACACAUGCAAGUCGAACGGUCUCUUCGGAGAUAGUGGCGGACGGGUGAGUAACGCGUGAGAAUCUGGCUCUAGGUCUGGGACAACAGAUGGAAACGUCUGCUAAUACCGGAUGUGCCGAGAGGUGAAAGGCUAGCUGCCUGGAGAUGAGCUCGCGUCAGAUUAGCUAGUAGGUGGGGUAAAGGCCUACCUAGGCGACGAUCUGUAGCUGGUCUGAGAGGACGAUCAGCCACACUGGGACUGAGACACGGCCCAGACUCCUACGGGAGGCAGCAGUGGGGAAUUUUCCGCAAUGGGCGAAAGCCUGACGGAGCAAUACCGUCGUGUAGGGUAGGUAAGGUCUCUUGGGUUGGUAAACCUCUUUUGGUGCAGAGUGGAUAAUGAGUAAGGUUACGUUGGAUGAAUGACCAUCGCUU
rnacentral:rRNA from 1 species